GUGAAUAAGUCUCACAAGAUCCGAUGAUUUUAUAAAGGCACUUCCCCUGCACACAUUCUCUUGCCUGCCACCAUGUAAGGCGUGUCUUUGCUCCUCCCUUGCCUCCUGCCAUGAUUGUGAGGCCUCCCCAGCCAUGUGGAACUGCCUGGCCAGAACUUCCAAAACUAUGUUGAAAAAGAGCCAAUAUAGCCAAGAUGAUCCUAAGCAAAAAGAACAAAGCUGGAGGCAUUAUGCUGUCUGACUUCAAAUUAUACUACAAGGAAGUCAGGGACUCUGAACGGAGGGACCAACUGGAGCUGCAGCAGAGGAACAUAAAUUGUGAAGAUUUCAUGGACAUUCACCAGUUUCCAAAUAAUACUCUUAUAAUUUCUUACACCUGUCUUAAUUUAAUCUCUUAAUCCUGUUAUCUUUGUAAGCUGAGGAUGUACAUCACCUCAGGACCACUGUGAUAAUUGUGUUAACUGUACAAAUUGAUUGUAAAACAUGUGUGUUUGAACAAUAUGAAAUCAGUUCACCUUGAAAAAGAACAGAAUAACAGCGAUUUUCAGGGAACAAGGGAAGACAACCAUAAGGUCUGACUGCCUGUGAGGUCGGGCAAAACAGAGCCAUAUUUUUCUUCGUGCAGACAGCCUAUAAAUGGACGUGUAAGUAGGGAAGAUAUUGAUAAAUUCUUUUCCUAGCAAGGAGUAUUAAUAAUUAAUACCGUGGGGAAGAAUGCAUUCCUGGCGGGAGGUCUAUAAACAGUUGCUCUGGGAGUGCCGGUCUUAAGUGGUUGAGAUAAGGACCAAAAUACGCCCUGGUCUCCUGCAGUACCCUCAGGCUUACUAGGUUGGAGAAAAACCUCGCCCUGGUAAAUUUGACAUCAGAUUGGUUCUCUGCUCUCAAACCCUGUUUUCUGUUGUUUAAGAUGUUUAUCAAGACAAUAUGUGCACAGCUGAACACAGACCCUUAUCAGUAGUUCUGUUUUGCCUUGUCCUGUUUCCUCAGAAGCAUGUGAUCUUUGUUCUGCUUUUUGCCCUUUGAAGCAUGUGAUCUUGUGACCCACUCCCUGUACUUGCACCCCCUCCCAUUUUGAAGUCCUUAAUAAAACUUGCUGGUUUUGCGGCUCAGGUGGGUAGCACGGUCCUGCCGAUAUAUGAUGUCACCCCCGGAGUCCCAGCUGUAAAAUUCCUCUCUUUGUACUCUUUCUCUUCAUUUCUCAGCCAGCCGACACUUAUGGAAAAUAGAACCUACGUUGAAAUAGUGGGGGUGGGUUCCCCCAAUACUUUAUGAACAUGUAACUGCAAACCAAUGCUUUGAGUGACAAUGGAACAAGACUUCAAGUUGAAGAGCAAAUUCAGAUAAAGCCAAGUUUUUUCUAUAGUAUUUCAUAGGAAAGUGACAUGUAUUCUACUAGCAAGGACAGGGUAUGGGAUGAAACAUUUCCUUUCAGAAGAAUUGAAAUUUUUUUGUUGCAGUGUUGUAAACACACAAG
rnacentral:lncRNA from 1 species